rnacentral:miRNA from 1 species
UGUGUAUGUAUGUAUACGUGCAUGUAUAUAUAUGUGUGUAUAUAUGUAUACAUACAUACACACAUACACACCACGGAAUACUACUCA